UCUGUAUUAGUAUGCCAUGGCCAGAGUAAAACCUAUAAAUAUUAUGAGGCCUACAUUACUCAGCUGUUGCCACAAUAAUGCAAAAAAUCACUCCAAGACUCAGUGGCUUAAAAUGGUAAUUAUUUAUUCUCACAUAAACAUUUGCAAAUUAGCUGGGGUUUAGAUGACCUGGGGUGGUCCGGGCUGGGCUUCAAGUUAUGGGCUGAGUCCAAGUUUGCUCCAGGUGUCUUCCAUCUUCCUUGGACGCAGGCAUGUGUAUGCAUCUCAAGGCAAUGUUGGAAGUGCAGGAGAGCCAGGCCCACUGUGCAAAUCCACAGUGACCUUGAUGGCAUCAUGCUUGCUAACAUCUUACUGGCCAAUAGUCACAUGGCCAAGUCCAACAUCCCUAAGUCAGGGAAGGGUAUUCCUCCAAAGUGUGGAGGAGUAAAAAUUUUCUGAACACAAAUCCGAACUAUCCCAAGACCUGUACCCAAAUAAAAAUGAAAACAAAACUCAACUAAAACUUAAAACUGUGUCUUCCAAGGGACAAAAAAAUCUGUAUGUUGAAACUUAAAUUAACUUUCCUGAAUUUUCUUGUUGCAUCAUUUGGCCAGUAAGGCAGGAGCACGGUGUUCUCUCUGCUUUUCUGGUCCUUGAAGCAUGUGCUUCGUCUGCAUAAUGGACCAAUCAGAGCUGUUUAUGUUUCUGUCCUAGCACCGCCCCCAUGCAGCAGAUAUUUGAUAAAGUUGGUGGAAGGCAAUUGUUGAAUUCUAUAAAUAUAUGGCAAUUGCAUCAAUGCAUGCUAUAUUUGUUUUACAGAAAUUUAAGGUCGCUGUAGGUAUUGUGCGUUUCUACAUCAAAGCUUCAAAAAUAGUUCCGGGGUGUGGAGGUGCACAUAGCUUCUACUAGCAAUACACACACUCUGGAGCACUCCCGGGAAGUCGUGGCCUCUGGGUUUUCUGUUUGUUUUUCUGUCUCCUUUGCAAUGUAAAUGAAAUCACUUUCUCAGCCUGAUCAUUGCUCGAGGGAAAUGCAUGCCUGGAAAAUAAUCAACAGAGAGGAGAAUGUAGACAAAUACAAAAUAAAGCAAGAGGGUUUCUGCCUUUCUAGUUAAAGAGCAAUCUUUAAAAGUCAUCCAAGAAAAGUUGGCUCUGUUUUCUGAAUUGCUAUUUGGGAGAACAAAAGAAGCAAGGGAAAGUUUGACUUGACUUCCUCUACAAUUUGUUUAUAUCAUCGGAGCAGAAAGAAUCUCAGGGCUCAGCUCUCCACUUCCUGAAUGAGGAGAGAGAGAGAGAAAAAAAAAUGCCCGUGUGUCAAAUUCAUUGAGAUGUGCAAAGUGAUCAGCAAAAAUCCUGAUGGACUGGAGCCCAAAUGGCAAAGGAAGGAUAUUCUUCAAUUCAGCUGCUAUCUGGCAAGAGAGCUGCAAAGUCCUGAUGGCGAGUGUCACCAAAUACCUCCUCCUCUCCUCCCCAGCCACAGAAAGGACAGGCAAGGAGGGUGCAGCCUCUCCUGGCCUGUUGCUAUGGAGUCGGGCUAAUCCAAGACAAUGUUUCAGUCGGUCCAAUCCAAAGACAGCAGUGGUAGCAAUGGAAUAGCAUUGAAAUUAUAAAUAUUUACUUGAAAAUAAU
rnacentral:lncRNA from 1 species